UCCCGUGAACCAUCGAGUCUUUGAACGCAAGUUGCGCCCGAAGCCCCCGGGCCGAGGGCACGUCUGCCUGGGUGUCACGCAACGUCGCCCCCCACCGACUCCUGCCCCGAACACGAUUGGGCGGCGGAGGAGGGAGCGGAGUAUGGCCUCCCGUUGGCGCAGCCCGCGGUUGGUUGAAAUACGAGUUCCCGGCGCAACGCGUCGCGGCGAUCGGUGGUUGAAAGGCCCCUAAACACCGCCGCGCACCGUGCAAUCCGGACCCUCAAGACCCCGAAGCGUCCGUACGUGGACGCCCCCAUACGCGACCCCAGGUCAGGCGGGACCACCCGCUGAGUUUAAGCAUAUCAAUAAGCGGAGGAAAAGAAACUUACCAGGAUUCCCU
rnacentral:rRNA from 1 species